GUGGAUCACACAAGGUUUCCAAUGAAGACGUUCCUCUAGAUGCCUCCAGAAGCCUACUGAAAAGAUGAAGGAUGCUGUUUGCUCUAGAGAUGCUGUCUGAAGCCUGAGAAAAUGAGCAGGGCUGGGCUUGCCCAGACUUGUUCUCUUCUAGAGAUCGGGAAGAAAAGUCAAGCUGCUUCCUUUGGGUCACCCAACCAGCCCUUCCUGGCUCCAUCCUGGGAGGUUGGCUUCCCAGAUUCCACAUCAGCAAACUGCCACCAAACUUGGCCCCGGAAGAAAGCCUCGAGUCCUUUUUCUGUCUGGUCCUCAGGACUCUCUUCUCCAAGAAGGAUGGCUCAUGGCGGAAAGAAGGGCCGCCGCUGUGAGUGUUUCUUUGGCAGUGUCUUAGCUGGUUGUUGUGCGCAGUGA
rnacentral:lncRNA from 1 species